CACGUAGGGUGCGAGCGUUGUCCGGAAUUAUUGGGCGUAAAGAGCUCGUAGGCGGUGUGUCGCGUCGGCCGUGAAAACCUGCAGCUUAACUGUGGGCUUGCGGUCGAUACGGGCAUCACUGGAGUUCGGCAGGGGAGACUGGAAUUCCUGGUGUAGCGGUGAAAUGCGUAGAUAUCAGGAGGAACACCGGUGGCGAAGGCGGGUCUCUGGGCCGAUACUGACGCUGAGGAGCGAAAGCAUGGGUAGCGAACAGG
rnacentral:rRNA from 1 species